UCAAAUAUCGUGCCGAAGGCUAUUGGCCUGCC
rnacentral:sRNA from 1 species